rnacentral:rRNA from 1 species
UACGUAGGGUGCAAGCGUUGUCCGGAAUUAUUGGGCGUAAAGAGCUCGUAGGCGGUUUGUUGCGUCGGCUGUGAAAUCCCGAGGCUCAACCUCGGGUCUGCAGUCGAUACGAGCAAACUAGAGUGUUGCAGGGGAGACUGGAAUUCCUGGUGUAGCGGUGAAAUGCGCAGAUAUCAGGAGGAACACCGGUGGCGAAGGCGGGGUCUCUGGGCAACAACUGACGCUGGAGGAGCGAAA